GUACAUUGAGUGCUGUUGUCACAGUUCCUUGAUAAAACUGUACAAGAACAAACGAAUCGACGUUUCACAUGUUGCGUAUCCGGAACCUUUGGAGGGGAAGACUUUAACUGGAGGACACUGAGCAAACAUGGCAGACGUACCAGAAAAUGCCCCAGAGCACUGUCCGGGUACAACAAGUGAGCAAGCCGGCAAGUCUGCAUCAUGCCAGGGCUGUCCCAACCAGAAACUCUGUGCCUCUGGAGCCACAAAAGCCCCCGACCCUGCUAUAGCAGAGAUAGGAGAGAAGCUGUCAACAGUCAAACACAAGAUCCUCGUGUUGUCUGGAAAAGGAGGCGUGGGGAAGAGCACCUUUAGCGCUCACUUGGCCCACGCUCUGGCAAGUGACAACACAAAGGAGAUUGCCCUGCUUGAUGUAGACAUCUGUGGUCCAUCCAUUCCAAGGAUCAUGGGUUUAGAGGGAGAGCAAGUUCACCAGAGUGGCUCUGGAUGGUCCCCUGUGUAUGUGGACGACAACCUGGCAGUCAUGUCUAUUGGCUUCCUGCUAAGUAGCCCUGAUGAUGCUGUGAUCUGGAGAGGACCCAAGAAAAAUGGGAUGAUUAAGCAGUUUUUAAGGGACGUGGACUGGGGGGACCUGGAUUACCUCAUCGUAGACACUCCACCCGGCACCUCUGACGAACACCUGUCAAUCGUCCAGUACCUAAGCUCCACCCAAGUUGAUGGAGCCAUCAUCAUCACCACGCCACAGGAGGUCUCGUUACAGGACGUGCGAAAGGAGAUCCGAUUCUGUCAGAAGGUUAAGCUGCCGAUCAUCGGGGUGGUGGAGAACAUGAGCGGCUUUGUCUGCCCUAAAUGCAAGAACACGUCACAGAUCUUCCCUCCCACAACCGGGGGAGCUGAGAAAAUGUGUGCAGACCUCAAACUACCCCUGUUAGGAAAGGUGCCUCUAGAUCCCAGGAUAGCACGGAGCUGCGACGAGGGCAAGUCUUUCCUGAGCGAGGUGCCCGACUCCCCCGCUGCGGAAGUCUACCAGAAAAUUGUGAAAACCAUCCAGGAUUACUGCUCCAACAGGGUAACAGAGGAGCAAAACACAACCUGACCACACAGAUGGCAUCCAUACAGGAGCAGAACACCGUGGCAGAUCACAUGACGGCAGACGGUGAUAGGUUUCGUGCAUUGAUCAGAUGCUGCCGUGCCACUGUUUCUCUGCCAGAGCAGUAUUUCCUGAAGAACUACUGAGAGUAAAUGAAAUGAAUACAUAAUGAUUCUGUAGAAACAGAAAUUACUUCCCAUUUCAUAAAAGAAAUAAAGUGGUCUCAUUCAAAUAAGCACCUGUGCCCGUUUUGAAUAUGAAUGCACUCAUUAUGGAAUGAUAUUUAUGAGGCUGUCAGGGUUUACAGUGAUUUACAAAUGUAUGUUUCUUUGUUUUGAAGAACAGCAAUAUCAUUUUGAGCACUGUAGUUUUAACUAACAGCACAUUUGUUGUGGGCUGUUUGCCAGCUGCAGGUUAGACAAACGGUAGUAAAACUGUUAAUGGUAGUAAAGGCCCGGCCAUGCAAGAUGUCACUUUUUGGCGUUUGUGUGGGUUUUUAUAAGUUUUGGCGGAGUUAAUAAGGCAAAAAGGAAAAAACAUGCAGAAUCUUUGCCUGUACCGUUUGUAGGAUCCAUUUAUUUUCUUACCGCGUCAUUAAGCUUGUAUUUGCUUAGAGUGAGUCAUUUGCUUCGGGUGCUUUUGUGUACAUUAUGUCAAUCGCCUCAGUAGAUGAAAAGGAAUAUAAAAAUAUUCCACAGUGCCUGAGCAGGUGUGGUAAUGUUUGUGUUAUUUAAGAGAAUUCUGGUCAGCAAUUUGUUUUAUUUGUUGUGUUUAAACUCUUUAUGGCACCAGGUUAUUGUGAUCAAAGUGCAGAUUAAGCUGCCAACAAAGAAAAAAACAAUACUUGGAUUUUAGUUCGUCAUUAAUAUCGGCGCUUCCGCAUUUCAAAUUAGCAGAUUGUUUACAAUAUCCCCUCCAAGUGCUUCCUGUUUUUGAAGUAUAAAGAAGUACAGGUAGGUUCUGGAAACACAAUUGUCAUUAUACACGAAUUUGCUGAAAACAAAUUCAAAGCUGGAAAAAAAAGUAGUAAAGCACAUCGUUGUUAUUUUUUAAUAUGCUGAUUUCAAAUCAUUUUCUUGCAUUUCUGAACAGAAAGUGCAAUUUUAACAAUAUCUGUGCAUACGUGUGCAUUACUAAUUUACAGACGACGGUGCAGUGGCUACUUAAAGGUACAGAACAGCUAAACCAAACAGUGUUUUACUUUUUAAAGAAGUACACUUGCAGAUUUCUGGAAUUAUUUUAAAAACUUACAUACAUUUUCAUACCUGCGUGGCAACGCUGGCAUCGAACUCCAGGAAAAGAAGUUGUGUUUUAUUGAAAAA